AUUGAACGCUGGCGGCAUGCCUUACACAUGCAAGUCGAACGGCAGCACGGGAGCAAUCCUGGUGGCGAGUGGCGAACGGGUGAGUAAUAUAUCGGAACGUGCCCAGUCGUGGGGGAUAACGUAGCGAAAGCUACGCUAAUACCGCAUACGAUCUAUGGAUGAAAGCGGGGGAUCGCAAGACCUCGCGCGAUUGGAGCGGCCGAUAUCAGAUUAGCUAGUUGGUGGGGUAAAAGCUCACCAAGGCGACGAUCUGUAGCUGGUCUGAGAGGACGACCAGCCACACUGGAACUGAGACACGGUCCAGACUCCUACGGGAGGCAGCAGUGGGGAAUUUUGGACAAUGGGCGAAAGCCUGAUCCAGCAAUGCCGCGUGCAGGACGAAGGCCUUCGGGUUGUAAACUGCUUUUGUACGGAACGAAAAAGUCUGCCCUAAUACGGUGGGCUCAUGACGGUACCGUAAAAAUAAGCACCGGCUAACUACGUG
rnacentral:rRNA from 1 species